CUUAGCUCAGUUGGUAGAGCAUCUGAUUUGUAAUCAGAGGGUCGAGGGUUCAAGUCCUUUAG
rnacentral:tRNA from 1 species